CCUACGGGCGGCAGCAGUGAGGAAUAUUGGUCAAUGGCCGGAAGGCUGAACCAGCCAUGCCGCGUGAAGGUCAGUGCCCUAUGGGCGUUAAACUUCUUUUGUGCGGGAGCAAUAAUGGUCACGUGUGGCCAGACGAGAGUACCGUACGAAUAAGCAUCGGCUAACUCCGUGCCAGCAGCCGCGGUAAUACGGGGGAUGCAAGCGUUAUCCGGAUUUAUUGGGUUUAAAGGGUGCGUAGGCUGGGUGGUAAGUCAGCGGUGAAAUGCCCCCGCUCAACGGGGUGAAGUGCCAUUGAUACUGGCUGGCUGGAGUGCGGAUGCCGUGGGAGGAAUGUGUGGUGUAGCGGUGAAAUGCAUAGAUAUCACGCAGAACACCGAUUGCGAAGGCAUCUCACGAAUCCGCGAUUGACGCUGAUGCACGAAAGCGUGGGUAUCAAACAGGAUUAGAUACCCCUGUAGUC
rnacentral:rRNA from 1 species